rnacentral:sRNA from 1 species
GAGGGAGCGUUUCUGACGUUAGGUCAAGGGCGGUGUUCCUGUGUUCUUAGGGCCCCAGGAGGCGAGUCUGAGUGGAACCUGGCUGGGGUAGGCUGAAAGGUGAUUUCGACGCUCUUCUGAGGCCUCAGACGUGUGUGAUGACUGCCCUGUAGAAUCAGUGCUGUGACCCCGAGUAACAACGCGCGCUUGAGUUGGUAUAAACUCCUGAAGAGUGUAGUCCUGCAAUUGACAAGAAAAAGUUAAGUGUAAAAUAGCCUCAGGCAUGUCCUUCAGGAGGGGAUUCCAGAGGCAUUGUUAUAGACGAUGACAGCUCUGUGUGUGUUAUUGCCACUGAAGACCUUCCAUGGGACGCGAUGUGGAGCUGGAAGUCAGUGAUAUCGAUGAUCCUGACACAGUCCUAGGAUAAGAAAUCCAAAAUGGAACGAUCCAAAAACUCCUCGAAAUAGUGUUUCUGUUUCCCCCUCCAAGGCUACAGGUGCAUAAUUUCAUACACAUAACCAGAAGGAAGUAUGGAUCUUUAACUUUAUUAGCAG